rfam:Otolemur garnettii contig054445, whole genome shotgun sequence.
CUCUCAAGGAAAAAAAUGCUCACUUCAGCAGGACAGUGCAGAGAAGAUUAGCACAGCCCCAGCGCAAGGAUGACACCACAUCUAUCAAGCAUUCCCUAUUUAU